rnacentral:rRNA from 1 species
CAGGGGGAUAACAGUCAGAAAUGACUGCUAAUACCGCAUAAGACCACAGCACCGCAUGGUGCAGGGGUAAAAACUCCGGUGGUACAGGAUGGACCCGCGUCUGAUUAGCUGGUUGGUGAGGUAACGGCUCACCAAGGCGACGAUCAGUAGCCGGCUUGAGAGAGUGAACGGCCACAUUGGGACUGAGACACGGCCCAAACUCCUACGGGAGGCAGCAGUGGGGAAUAUUGCACAAUGGGGGAAACCCUGAUGCAGCGACGCCGCGUGAGUGAAGAAGUAUCUCGGUAUGUAAAGCUCUAUCAGCAGGGAAGAAAAUGACGGUACCUGACUAAGAAGCCCCGGCUAACUACGUGCCAGCAGCCGCGGUAAUACGUAGGGGGCAAGCGUUAUCCGGAUUUACUGGGUGUAAAGGGAGCGUAGACGGAGUGGCAAGUCUGAUGUGAAAACCCGGGGCUCAACCCCGGGACUGCAUUGGAAACUGUCA